UGGGGAAUAUUGGACAAUGGGCGAAAGCCUGAUCCAGCCAUGCCGCGUGUGUGAAGAAGGUCUUCGGAUUGUAAAGCACUUUAAGUUGGGAGGAAGGGCAGUAAGUUAAUACCUUGCUGCUUUGACGUUACCGACAGAAUAAGCACCGGCUAACUCUGUGCCAGCAGCCGCGGUAAUACAGAGGGUGCAAGCGUUAAUCGGAAUUACUGGGCGUAAAGCGCGCGUAGGUGGUUUGUUAAGUUGGAUGUGAAAGCCCCGGGCUCAACCUGGGAACUGCAUCCAAAACUGGCAAGCUAGAGUACGGUAGAGGGUGGUGGAAUUUCCUGUGUAGCGGUGAAGUGCGUAGAUAUAGGAAGGAACACCAGUGGCGAAGGCGACCACCUGGACUGAUACUGACACUGAGGUGCGAAAGCGUGGGGAGCAAACA
rnacentral:rRNA from 1 species